UCCGAGUUGACCCCGGCAGUCUCCCAUGAGUCCCCACCAUAACGUGCUGGCAACAUGGAAUAAGGGUUGCGCUCGUUGCGGGACUUAACCCAACAUCUCACGACACGAGCUGACGACAACCAUGCACCACCUGUCACAAGCCCCGAAGGACCCCGUAUCUCUACGAGUUUUCAAGUGAUGUCAAGCCCAGGUAAGGUUCUUCGCGUUGCAUCGAAUUAAGCCGCAUGCUCCGCCGCUUGUGCGGGCCCCCGUCAAUUCCUUUGAGUUUUAGCCUUGCGGCCGUACUCCCCAGGCGGGGCGCUUAAUGCGUUAGCUACGGCACAGGAACCGUGAACCAGUCCCCACACCUAGCGCCCAACGUUUACAGCGUGGACUAC
rnacentral:misc_RNA from 1 species